UCAUCUCUCAUAUUUUCAAUUUUAUCGAUUAGCUAUUAAUCACUUAUUUAUGUUAAUUAAAAUUUGAUUCAGUUUUGAGUAAUUUUGUACUGUAGAGACAUGCCUUUGAUUUAUGGUAUUUUCAGUUUUAAUGAAUUGAUUGAUUUUAUUGUUCAAGAGCCGGUUAUUUAUACAUUAUAACUCUUUUGUUUGUUUUUUAUACUUAAGGCAAAACUAUCCAUUUAACAUUGCUAUUAAGAUUGAAAUGUAUUUGUAAAGAAGUUUUUAUUGUAUAGAUGUAUGCAUUUUUGGUAAAAGUUGUAAGUUGUUGAAUAUUUAGAAACCUUUGUGUAUGUGUUCAUUAUUCUGAUCUUUGUUUUGUGUUUUCAACGUUUUGUACCUUAAUUCAUGUAUUGUUUGUUUUUUCGAUUAUGUAUUUCAUAUGCGUGUUUUGAAUUCAGUGUGUACUCAGUAGAAAAAUCACACAACUUGAAGAUAGAAAAGAUAGCCAAACGCCCAAAUUUAAGGACAUGUGUAUGAGUCAAGGUGUCCGUGGUCAUACCAGGAAAAAUCGAAUCGGUGCCAGAUGUCUAGAUUGAUGAUAUUUACUUUUUUCGUAUGGAGUUAUGUUUGGGUUUUAAUCUACUAUGAUUCGCUCACUUUUGUUCUCUUUUUCGUUUUGCCCUAGAUUUUCAUCAGUGAAUUCAGGGAAGAAUGGAUACCGAUGGGAGCAGAGGUAAGCCAUGUUAAACAACCUUUUUUCUGAUGAGGAUUUUAAUUUUUUGUUUUUUCUAGGGUCUGAAUUACCUACUGAAUCAUCCCAUUCCAGUACCGAAUCAACACCAAUAGCAAUGGUGGCUGAAGUGAAGAAGAUUUCAGCAGCUUUAGCUACGUGCCUACGUCCCACACCAGGAAUUCCAAUCAAAAUCUUCUUCAACUUUCUCUUCAGGUAUGCAUCAUUUUCAGUGUGUUCGUUUCGAUUUCAUCCUGAUUUUAUUUUUAUGGUUUAUCUUCAUAAUCGUAGGUCGUAACAUAUGUUUAUAGAAAUUUAAGAAAUCGUAUUUGCUGUAAUAUAGGUUUAGGUUGAUUCACUUCAGGUUCUAGGAUAUUUACUCAUACCUAAAAUUGGAUUUGAUCUUCACCUUUUAUGUCAAAGGAUUCUUUAUUAAAGUAUGAAUACCAAAGGGGGAGUAUGAAGAAGUUGUCUAUAAUGAGCUUGUCCAGUUGGCGAAUCAUCUUCUUACAAAUGUAUACCAGCAGAAAGAACAGAAGAAAAUCAUCUACCAUUUAAUUUAAAUGACCAAAUUGCCCUUCUAGAGUUCCAUGUGGAAAGUGGUAUCGAAGCAGCACCUAACAUUGAACAUCAAUUCAUAUCAAGCUAUCCUUCACAUCAAAUGGGGACGUAUGAAAACUCAAAUUUGCAGAUUCACCAGUCGUCGUUAAGAAACCGGUCGGAAGAAAUAUCCAUCGGCUUGCAGUUUAGUGAACCAGAACUGAAGCGAUGAAAGCAAUCUGAUGAAGAAGCCUAAGUUGUGGAAUGAAUAUAGAUUAUGUACCGACAAAGUGUGAUGAUGGCUCAGCAAAGGCAACAACCUACUCAAGUACCCGAGUUCAGGCUAUCUCAAGAAUGGACAUAUUGAAUAACUGAAUUAGGAAAUGUUAGCUAAAUAUAGCGUAUAGUAUAGUAUACAAGAUUUUGAGAAUGGGUUUUAGUGUUAGAACUAGAAAAGUGCCCUGCGCGCGUUGCGCCGUGGGCAAAGAAAUUGACCACAUCUAUGCAUAAACUCUUGGUUGCAGCUCAUGUAUCUAACUUGAUGGAAAUAUAAAUCUAGCCCCCGCCGCAUUGCGGCGGGUUACUUUUCUAGU